GAUGAACGCUGGCGGCGUGCUUAACACAUGCAAGUCGAACGGAAAGGCCCAAGCUUGCUUGGGUACUCGAGUGGCGAACGGGUGAGUAACACGUGGGUGAUCUGCCCUGCACUUCGGGAUAAGCCUGGGAAACUGGGUCUAAUACCGGAUAGGACCACAUUUUGGAUGGUGUGGUGGAAAGUUUUUCGGUGUGGGAUGAGCUCGCGGCCUAUCAGCUUGUUGGUGGGGUAAUGGCCUACCAAGGCGUCGACGGGUAGCCGGCCUGAGAGGGUGUACGGCCACAUUGGGACUGAGAUACGGCCCAGACUCCUACGGGAGGCAGCAGUGGGGAAUAUUGCACAAUGGGCGCAAGCCUGAUGCAGCGACGCCGCGUGGGGGAUGACGGCCUUCGGGUUGUAAACUACUUUCGCUAGGGACGAAGCGCAAGUGACGGUACCUGGAGAAGAAGCACCGGCUAACUACGUG
rnacentral:rRNA from 1 species